UACGUAGGGUGCAAGCGUUAAUCGGAAUUACUGGGCGUAAAGCGUGCGCAGGCGGCUUUGCAAGACAGAUGUGAAAUCCCCGGGCUCAACCUGGGAACUGCAUUUGUGACUGCAUGGCUAGAGUGCGGCAGAGGGGGAUGGAAUUCCGCGUGUAGCAGUGAAGUGCGUAGAUAUGCGGAGGAACACCGAUGGCGAAGGCAAUCCCCUGGGCCUGCACUGACGCUUAUGCACGAAAGCGUGGGGAGCAAACAGG
rnacentral:rRNA from 1 species